CAGCAGCCGCGGUAAUACGGAGGAUCCAAGCGUUAUCCGGAAUCAUUGGGUUUAAAGGGUCCGUAGGCGGUUUAGUAAGUCAGUGGUGAAAGCCCAUCGCUCAACGGUGGAACGGCCAUUGAUACUGCUGAACUUGAAUUAUUAGGAAGUAACUAGAAUAUGUAGUGUAGCGGUGAAAUGCUUAGAGAUUACAUGGAAUACCAAUUGCGAAGGCAGGUUACUACUAAUUGAUUGACGCUGAUGGACGAAAGCGUGGGGAGCGAACAGCAUUAGAUACCCGCGUAGUCCCUGUCUCUUAUAC
rnacentral:rRNA from 1 species